rnacentral:rRNA from 1 species
UACGGAGGGUGCAAGCGUUGUCCGGAAUCAUUGGGCGUAAAGCGCGUGUAGGUGGUUCAAUAAGUCUGCUGUGAAAGUCCAGGGCUCAACCCUGGGAUGCCGGUGGAUACUGUUGGACUAGAGUUCGGAAGAGGCGAGUGGAAUUCCUGGUGUAGCGGUGAAAUGCGCAGAUAUCAGGAGGAACACCAAUUGCGAAGGCAGCUCGCUGGUACGACACUGACACUGAGACGCGAAAGCGUGGGGAGCAAACAGGAUUAGAAACCCCGGUAGU